ACUUUGGCAUUUUGGCUGUGUGGCCCAAAGAACAAUCGACCAUUACAAAGCCUAUUCAUGAGGCAACCAGAGACCUUAUCACAAGGAUGACUGCCCGGCUGAUGCUACUCUUCUGUAUCAUCCUCGCGAGUACAUAAAACACACAAGAUCCACGUUACUAAAUGAUAAGUCAUGAGCUCUAAACAGUCUAAACUGUAACUUGAAAGAUCACGAAUGCAAAUGAAAACACCUAUCUACUUAAAAGGCUGGAUUAACUUGUUUGGUUUCAAUUUCCUAAGCCUAUCUCUAGCUAAAAACUAAAAAUGUCAAAAAACAGUAAAAAUCCAUCUAUAAUUAGAGGAUAGUCCAUCCAAAGGCAAGGACCACAGUACUGUUCUCAAAUUUACAAAACCAUUAGCAUUUUUAAAAACUAGAUUCACUACCUGAAUCACAACGGUUAAAUCAUACACACUGCGAUAAUGUGCAUGUAAUGACUCUGUCUCAAAGUGUACACCAGCGCGAUGUCGGUGCUUUGCGCUGAACAUGCACAUCUUUCUUUCCACAGCCAAGUAAAAGGUGACAGUUAGAAGGAGGGUUUAACAAGAGGUUUCCCGCCAGGGCUUUGUGAAAAGAGAGACCGUACAUUCUAUCAAGGUGACUAAAAGUCUACUCAGGCCCUCUGCAGUCAGCAUUAUUCAGCACUAUUCGCUCGAUAUCGGGAGCCUGCCAAUGCUUUUGCCCACCUGACCGGGUGUUCUCUCUAUUAUGCAAGCGAUGUGGUCUCCCCAAGGCCAGUGAUCGCCGGGCAUUCCUGUCUGUCUGUUCAGCACAGAGGCGUCCCCUGGCACGCUGGGAAAGUGAGCCAUUGCAAAGAAAGUGCAUCCUCCUCGGCGUCCCCGCCCAGGGCGCUGGGCCCCGCCGACCCACAGCGAGCAGCCCACACGGCUCCCCGAAACUAGGUCUGGGGCAGCGCCUCGGCGGCCUCCUGGAGAAGCAAGCCCCACUUUCUCCGAGCAGGAGGGGGAGGCGGAGAGCAUUUCCUGUUGUGCAGCUGAACUGAGCGGAGACGUCAUUGCAUUCAAAUUCCCUUGGGUGUCAGCGGACAGGGGCCAAAGUUCAGGCCCUUCCAGGGCGGGCCGAGCGCAGCAGCGGGCGAGGGCAGGGCGGUCAGGGCUCCGGGCUCCUGGAAGGAGUCCCAGCGCCUGGUGCCCGCACAGCCCGGCGGCGCAGGGACGCGGCUGAGCUGCGGGGGGAGCCCCUUUUCCUCCCAGAAUGAACCAAGUCCGGCGACUGCUGUGGGCUGGCCUCUCUGUCCCGUGUGCUUCCUUCCCAGGGUGAAGGUGAAGGCCUGUGUUUCCAGGUGUCUGGAGGAAGCACUUUCCUUGCGCAAGCUUCUUCGCCUAAUUUUUAACAAAACUGGCUCCCAAGAAAUGCAAGGAAAAAACCAUUGGGACGCUCUUCUUGCCUAGGUCAAUUUCCAUUACACACUGUAGGACGGCAGUGCUUCAAGAAGCCAGUUCUCUCUGAAAUCAGAGCCCAGCUUGAAGUUAACUGUAUGCCGCAGAGUCAGAUGAAGAUCAUGGCUCACUGAGUGAACAGGAAUGUGCAGGCACGAAGACAGAAGUGUAUUAUACAGACACACACACGCACACACGUGAAUGAAGAAGCCUUUUAUGAAAAACCCACCUACCUACAUGCUUCACAAUCUUGGGUUCCAGUAAGACCCUUCAGCAUUUUCAAGCUCCAUGAUUUUUUUUUCCUUAUAAACUGCCCCCAAAAUGACAAUCUUCUCUUUAUUAAAGGGCCCUUAGCACAAAUUACUAGUGUCUUGAUCCCUUCAAAGCUGGGUAACUAUACAAAGUACAGCACCUGUCCCCAAGACAGUCCCCAGACCUACAGGUGGUUCCAACACUGUCCAUUCCCUCCUCCAGACAAUAACAAGAAGAGGUAUCAUUACCUCAUACCUUUCAGGCUCUUGGUAAAAGCCAUUAUGUUCUUCAAAUGGAAAUAUAUAUGUAGUACUUCCUUUUGUCAGCCUCCAUCUAUAUUUAAUAUUUAAGAAUAGACCCUCAAUAAAGUCUAAAUAAUAGUAAAUGCUCAGAUGGCCUAUAAUCAACUGUUAUUGAAACAUCAGUGUUCCCACAUGCAUUACAGUGUAAUUAAAAAUUAAUGAACUGUAUGUUAUUUUAUUACAAUAAACUAUUUUCUAUUCUCUCCUAGUCCCUCACAAAGUUCUGUGUACUUCUCCAGAGACUAAAAGAAUGACUAAAUCUAAAAUAAGUUACUUUCCACAGUGGUUAAAGGUUCCAAAAUCAAAGUACUCACUGAGGAAAUGAUAUCUUUUGUUUUGGAAACAUACAGUAAUUAACAUUGUUAUUGUCUAAUGUAUUGACUGCUCCUGCAUAUAGAUACACUUGUACUAUGAAAUAUUUGUCCAUUUA